CCCCAAGCGGGACCCUGGGCGCUAGGGGAGAGGCGUGGGGCGUUCCCGCCGGCAGUGCGGUGACGUCUCUGCCCCAAGUGCUCUCCCGGGCUGCCCUGGGGAGGAAGUAGAGCCACGACCCCCUGAGGGGCACCCGGAGGAAACCCCCCAGCCCCACGCAAGGCUUGAGGACGGACUGGCCAGGGAGGCUGUGACCCCAGGCUGCCGGGAAAGGGGCUGUAUCCACCUCCCCCGGAGUCGCAGGAAGCCACCCCCCAGGCUGCUGGGGAGAGAGCAGACCCCUGGGGCCCCCGCGGACGAUCCAGAGGGCAGGGUCCCCGCCCGGAGGAGGGGUCCCGGCAGGAGACAGUCCUACAGCACCCAGGGGCCCAACAAGCCCUGAGGGGAGCCCGUCCCUCACGGUGACCGCAGCCACUCCCGGGCGCCUCAGCCUGCCGGGAGAGGGUCUGAUUAUAAGGACGGGGCUGCCGGCUUUGGCGCAGAUCCCGGGGCCGACGCUCCUCCGAGGGGGCGGGCAGCGCCGUCGCCAUCUUGCGGGGCGCAGGCCGGGUGGAGGCAGAAGGAAGGGGGGGGGCAUACCGCUUCUGGUUCGCUCGGCGGUUUGCUCACUUCCCCUUUUGGGGCGCCGGGGUCGGCUCCCCGCCUCCUCCCGCCCGCCCCCACUUCCACCUCGCAGCGAGCGGUCGAAAGGCCGGCAGCGGUGCCAGCGCCGGGCCGAACGUGCGCAGCCGCGGGGAACACAGCUGCCGCACGUAGCUCGGCGGCGGGGACGUCCGCAGACCCAGACCGCCCGGCUCAACGUGGUCCCGCGCCCCGCCGGGGCCGGGGUCGCCCACCAGCCCCUGGAGCGGGCGCGCGGUUCCCGGGAGCGCACGUGCGCACACCCGGGUGGAGGGCGCAGGGCGCGCGGACGCCUCCUCGGAACGACAGGCGAAUGCCUGCAAACUGCUGGGCCCGGCCUCCGCCUCUCACUGUCCCCUCGCUGUGGGGUUGGGGGGGGCGUAACAUCUGGGGACACCGAGGGAGGCGGCUCAGAGCCGGCAGGGGCCCCAGGUGCUGCCACCUGGCUCCAGACUGCGGGGCUGCAAACCCGAGAGGAGGAUGCGGGCGUGGGGUGGGCGGGGCC